rnacentral:tRNA from 1 species
GCGUCUGUAGCCCAGUUGGUUAGAGCACCACCUGACAUGGUAGUCGAUGGUUCGAGUCCAUUCAGACGCACCA